rnacentral:rRNA from 1 species
GAUGAACGCUAGCGGCAGGCUUAAUACAUGCAAGUCGAGGGGCAGCACAGGUAGCAAUACUGGGUGGCGACCGGCAAACGGGUGCGGAACACGUACACAACUUACCUUCUGGUGGGGGAUAGCCUUUGGAAACGGAGAUUAAUACCCCAUAUUAUAUAUGAGCUGCAUGGUUUGUAUAUUAAAGAUUUAUUGCCGGCAGAUGGGUGUGCGUAUGAUUAGGUAGUUGGCGGGGUAACGGCCCACCAAGCCGACGAUCAUUAACUGGUGUGAGAGCACGACCAGUCACACGGGAACUGAGACACGGGCCCGACUCCUACGGGAGGCAGCAGUAAGGAAUAUUGGUCAAUGGGCGCAAGCCUGAUCCAGCCAUGCCGCGUGCAGGAUGAAGGCCUUCGGGUUGUAAACUGCUUUUGUACGGAACGAAAAGACUCUAGUUAAUACCUGGGGUCCGUGACGGUACCGUAAGAAUAAGCACCGGCUAACUACGUGCCAGCCGCCGCAGUAAUAC